CAUAUUUGAAUGGAUCACUCUGCUGGACACCCGUAUCUUUAAGCAAUGUAUCUUACAGCCACUGUAAAACAUCCAUAUUAAUCAAGCUCCUAAACUUCUUCCCCAGUUUCUUUAAGUGUAAAGUGUUUUGCUCCUGUGAACACAUAUAUUUGACUCACCCAGAUGAAGUGUAGAAUGACAAUACUUGUCGUGCUGUCUGUUUUGCUAGCAGUCCAGGUUAUAACUCACACUAUGUCUAUGACAACUUUUUCUAAACGGUGUUCCACGUUUUUCUCUUUCAGGGUGAUAGACUAGCAAGCAGCGGUGAUUUCCUGUGUUUUGGAAUUUUAACGUCAGCACCACUUGUUUUCAUAGACAGCUGUGUCUAAAGGAUUCUGGUUUCCGCCCACCUUCAAAGCGUGGAAAUUCAUCGGGAGUAGGAAGUAGACCCUUCCGGGCCCCUGAGCAGUAAGAGAUGCAGGGAACAAGAAUAAGAAGAGCUAUCGUAUUCAUGAAACUACUGCAAUUUGCCCAAGAAAGGUCUUUGGUUCCUUA